rnacentral:rRNA from 1 species
UACGUAGGGUGCGAGCGUUUGUCCGGAUUUAUUGGGCGUAAAGAGCUCGUAGGCGGCUUGUCGCGUCGGAUGUGAAAGCCCGGGGCUUAACUCCGGGUCUGCAUUCGAUACGGGCAGGCUAGAGUGUGGUAGGGGAGAUCGGAAUUCCUGGUGUAGCGGUGAAAUGCGCAGAUAUCAGGAGGAACACCGGUGGCGAAGGCGGGUUGCUGGGCUGACACUGACGCUGAUGUGCGAAAGCUAGGGGAGCGAACGGG